UCGGGGGCUGCAGUACUUAGGAUGGUUAUGCUUCCACAGAGGAAAUGCCAGGAGAGGUGGCCCUGGAGCUAGAGGCCCUUAUGAGGUGCAGGAGGCACAGCGAGCAGAGCCCUGGGCACUGAGCAUUGUGUUCAGAGGAAACAGCUGCAUCCCAGCCAAGGCCGGAGUAACAGGUGUGUUCCCAACUGAGAAAACGGUGCAGUUUCAUCUUCUGAAUCCAAGAACGGAAGCACAAUGGGACCUGGGCAUCCAGUACUACUCACUCAGGAGCACAUGUGACCAGCCCCUCAGAGCCUCUGAGGGAGACAAUUGGAGCUAGGAGUGGACCCAGAAGCAGCCUGCUGGAGGAAGCUGCAAAUGUGAUCAUCAUGAGGCUGGAGAUGCUGAAGAUCGGUGAACAUUCCCAGUGACUCUGGCUCAAUCUGGGACCCUGGCCAGAGCUACUGGUCACCAACACUAUGCAGGGUUUGGGGCUUCAGUGCCUCCCAAGAUGGAUCUGCAGGUUCUUGACAGGUAACAAGGUGACCCCUGUCUGCUACUGACCCCUCAAGCUGGUCGGCACAGGUUUAUAAUGAACACCACGGUGUCAUGUCAGACUCGGCCCCAGUAUGAGACCAGGGGAUGCUGAGUGUCUGCAUUUCAGCAAAAUGUAACCCAUCUGUUUCUAGGCAUUUGCCUGAGACAGAUUGUGGUCUAGCCGUCCAAGGGGGAUGUGGUGUCUGAAAGCCCCUUAAAAAGCUGAUUCAAGGUUUAUUCUCUCUUUUGAAGAGGUGAGUCAUGUUUCACCAGCAGAUACUUGUGACUCAUUUUUAAAAAAGGGUUUUCAUACUCUAAGCUGGUGGGGUUGAAGAGAAUUACAAAUCUGUGAGCCUUUCCCCAUCUUUCUUACAUCUGGAUGGAAAACACAAGCUCAUAUUCAAGGAGGUCCUCAAAGCUGGACUGUGGCGUUUUGCACACAUUAUGAAGUUAUUUCUACUUUUGGUUCUGAACCAGAAUUGAGCCCAGAACCACCAGGGCUACCCCUCCAGGGUCACCUGGAGAAUGGUUUCUGUGGUGAUGGCUGGAAUUGGGCUGGUGGUCCCAACUGAGCCACAGGUCGGGCCUCUUAACUGCACCAGGGUUAGAAGAUGCUCCUGGAAGGGGUGGAAACAACUUUCCUCCAGGCAAUACAACGUCUGUGGUUGGGGGAUUGCCUUGGAGAGAACCUGAUUGGGAUUUUCCUGGGUAAGAGUUCUGAAACUUUUCCAAGUCGUUAGAGAAAGCCUGUCCAAGCAAUUUCAUAGAAAAAGCAACCUGAGUGUUGCACAGUCACCCACUCACUCAGCAGCACAGCGCAGUGCGGAUCCUUGGGGUCCUCCCAGUUUGCAGUCACCCACUCACUCAGCAACACAGCGCAGUGCGGAUCCUUGGUGUCCUCCCAGUUUGCACAGUCACCACUCACUCAGCAGCACAGUGCAGUGCGGAUCCUUUGGGGCCUCCCAGUUUGCAUAGUCACCACUCACUCAGCAGCACAGCGCAGUGUGGAUCCUUGGGGUUCUCCCAGUUUGCACAGUCACCACUCACUCAGCAGCACAAUGCAGUGAGGAUCCUUGGGUCCUCCCAGUUUGCACAUCACCACUCACUCAGCAGCACAGCGCAGUGCAGAUCCUUGGAGUCCUCCCAGUUUGCACAGUCACCCACUCACUCAGCAGCACAGCACAGUGCAGAUCCUUGGGGUCCUCCCAGUUUGCACAGUCACCACUCACUCAGCAGCACAGCACAGUGCGGAUCCUUGGGGUCCUCCCCUGGCUUUGUGAACUUGCUGAAGCACCUGGCUCCAGCCCCAUUGCCUCUUGUGUGAAAUUAGGAUAACGGAUCCUCACAGAACUGAAGCAUAAAUUUAGUGAGUUAUUACAGGAAAAGUACUGGGCUCUCUCUGGCACAUCGUGGACACUGUGCAUUCCAAUUCCUUGCAUUUCUGGGGACAUAUAGGAGGCAUUUCUCCUUUCUCCCUUUAGAAAUCACUCAAAACCACUUGGAGAAAAAAGCCGAAAUGAGCCUUUUCUUGAUGAAUUAGGAGUGCGUGUCCUCCCCCCAGGCCCCCAACCACAGAGCAUCUUCGCGUUUUUGAACAGCCACCUGGCUCCCGCCUCAGGGCCUUGGCACCUGCCCUUUCUUCUCUCAACACAGCAUGUCCUCUGGUUGUCUGUGUCCUUGGCCCUCCUCAUCUGUCAUCAGGGAUGACGACAUCACUGACCUGCUGCUGAAGGUCGGUGCCGUCCUGCCCACACGUCUGUGAGCCCUCAGCAGGGUGCACACCUAUUUGGUUGCAUUGUGUACUUUCUAGUGUGCACUAAGUGCUUCCAACAGUGCCAGGCUCACAGCAAGCACCGCA